AGGCUUUGCCUGCUAUCUCUUACCCAUGUCUUUUGAGUACCUUCGUUUCCUCGGCGGGUCCGCCCGCCGAUUGGACAAUUUAAACCAUUUGCAGUUGCAAUCAGCGUCUGAAAAAACUUUAAUAGUUACAACUUUCAACAACGGAUCUCUUGGUUCUGGCAUCGAUGAAGAACGCAGCGAAAUGCGAUAAGUAGUGUGAAUUGCAGAAUUCAGUGAAUCAUCGAAUCUUUGAACGCACAUUGCGCCCCUUGGUAUUCCAUGGGGCAUGCCUGUUCGAGCGUCAUUUGUACCUUCAAGCUCUGCUUGGUGUUGGGUGUUUGUCUCGCCUCUGCGCGUAGACUCGCCUCAAAACAAUUGGCAGCCGGCGUAUUGAUUUCGGAGCGCAGUACAUCUCGCGCUUUGCAUUCAGAACGACGACGUCCAAAAGUACAUUUUUACACUCUUGACCUCGGAUCAGGUAGGGAU
rnacentral:rRNA from 1 species